GACGGGAUAGCUCAGUUGGUUAGAGUGUGGUGCUGAUAACCCCAAGGUCAAGGGUUCAAAUCCCUUUACCUUCU